AGAGUUUGAUCCUGGCUCAGGACGAACGCUGGCGGCGCGCCUAACACAUGCAAGUCGAACGAGAGAGAAGGAGCUUGCUUCUUCGAUCGAGUGGCGAACGGGUGAGUAACGCGUGAGGAACCUGCCUCAAAGAGGGGGACAACAGUUGGAAACGACUGCUAAUACCGCAUAAGCCCACGGGUCGGCAUCGACCUGAGGGAAAAGGAGCAAUCCGCUUUGAGAUGGCCUCGCGUCCGAUUAGCUAGUUGGUGAGGUAAUGGCCCACCAAGGCGACGAUCGGUAGCCGGACUGAGAGGUUGAACGGCCACAUUGGGACUGAGACACGGCCCAGACUCCUACGGGAGGCAGCAGUGGGGAAUAUUGCACAAUGGGGGAAACCCUGAUGCAGCGACGCCGCGUGGAGGAAGAAGGUCUUCGGAUUGUAAACUCCUGUUGUUGAGGAAGAUAAUGACGGUACUCAACAAGGAAGUGACGGCUAACUACGUGCCAGCGGCCGCGGUAAAACGUAGGUCACAAGCGUUGUCCGGAAUUACUGGGUGUAAAGGGAGCGCAGGCGGGAAGACAAGUUGGAAGUGAAAUCUAUGGGCUCAACCCAUAAACUGCUUUCAAAACUGUUUUUCUUGAGUAGUGCAGAGGUAGGCGGAAUUCCCGGUGUAGCGGUGGAAUGCGUAGAUAUCGGGAGGAACACCAGUGGCGAAGGCGGCCUACUGGGCGCCAACUGACGCUGAGGCUCGAAAGUGUGGGUAGCAAACAGGAUUAGAUACCCUGGUAGUCCACACCGUAAACGAUGAUUACUAGGUGUUGGAGGAUUGACCCCUUCAGUGCCGCAGUUAACACAAUAAGUAAUCCACCUGGGGAGUACGACCGCAAGGUUGAAACUCAAAGGAAUUGACGGGGGCCCGCACAAGCAGUGGAGUAUGUGGUUUAAUUCGACGCAACGCGAAGAACCUUACCAAGUCUUGACAUCCUGCGACGAUGCUAGAAAUAGUAUUUUCCUUCGGGACGCAGAGACAGGUGGUGCAUGGUUGUCGUCAGCUCGUGUCGUGAGAUGUUGGGUUAAGUCCCGCAACGAGCGCAACCCUUAUGGUCAGUUACUACGCAAGAGGACUCUGGCCAGACUGCCGUUGACAAAACGGAGGAAGGUGGGGAUGACGUCAAAUCAUCAUGCCCUUUAUGACUUGGGCUACACACGUACUACAAUGGCGUUAAGC
rnacentral:rRNA from 1 species